rnacentral:rRNA from 1 species
CUACGGGAGGCAGCAGUGGGGAAUAUUGGACAAUGGGGGGAACCCUGAUCCAGCAAUGCCGCGUGUGUGAAGAAGGCCUGCGGGUUGUAAAGCACUUUUGUUAGGGAGGAGUGUAUAAAGGUUAAGAGCUAUUAUACAGGACGUUACCUAAAGAAAAAGCACCGGCUAACUCCGUGCCAGCAGCCGCGGUAAUACGGAGGGUGCGAGCGUUAAUCGGAAUUACUGGGCGUAAAGGGUGCGUAGGCGGCGCUGUAAGUUACUUGUGAAAUUCCUGGGCUCAACCUGGGGUGGACGGGUGAUACUGCGGUGCUAGAGUAUAGGAGAGGGCAGUGGAAUUUCCGGUGUAGCGGUGAAAUGCGUAGAUAUCGGAAGGAACACCGGUGGCGAAGGCGGCUGUCUGGCCUGAUACUGACGCUGAGGAGCGAAAGCCAGGGGAGCAAACGGGAUUAGAUACCCUAGUAGUCC